CCUACGGGUGGCAGCAGUGGGGGAUAUUGCACAAUGGGGGGAACCCUGAUGCAGCGACGCCGCGUGGGUGAAGGAGUGCUUCGGCAUGUAAAGCCCUAUCGGCAGGGAAGAAGCAAGACGGUACCUGACUAAUAAGCCCCGGCUAACUACGUGCCAGCAGCCGCGGUAAUACGUAGGGGGCGAGCGUUAUCCGGAUUCACUGGGGGUAAAGGGAGCGUAGACGGCCAUGCAAGCCAGGGGGGAAAGCCCGGGGCCCAACCCCGGGACUGCCCUUGGAACUGUGCGGCUAGAGUGCGGGAGGGGCAGGCGGAAUUCCUGGGGUAGCGGUGAAAUGCGUAGAUAUCAGGAGGAACACCGGCGGCGAAGGCGGCCUGCUGGACUGCGACUGACGUUGAGGCUCGAAAGCGUGGGGAGCGAACAGGAUUAGAUACCCGGGUAGUC
rnacentral:rRNA from 1 species